CUAACAGGAUUCCCCUAGUAACUGCGAGUGAAGCGGGAAAAGCUCAAAUUUAAAAUCUGGCAGUCUCCGGCUGUCCGAGUUGUAAUCUAGAGAAGUGCUAUCCGCGCUGGACCGUGUACAAGUCUCCUGGAAUGGAGCGUCAUAGAGGGUGAGAAUCCCGUCUUUGACACGGACUCCCAGGGCUUUGUGAUGCGCUCUCAAAGAGUCGAGUUGUUUGGGAAUGCAGCUCAAAAUGGGUGGUAAAUUCCAUCUAAAGCUAAAUAUUGGCGAGAGACCGAUAGCGAACAAGUACCGUGAGGGAAAGAUGAAAAGAACUUUGGAAAGAGAGUUAAACAGUACGUGAAAUUGCUAAAAGGGAAACGCUUGAAGUCAGUCGCGUUGUCCAGGGAUCAACCUUGCUUUUGCUUGGUGCACUUUCUGGUUAACGGGUCAGCAUCAAUUUUGAUCAUUGGAAAAAGAUUAGGGGAAUGUGACAUCUUUGGAUGUGUUAUAGCCCUUGGUUGCAUGCAAUGGUUGGGAUUGAGGAACUCAGCACGCCGCAAGGCCGGGUUUUUAACCACGUACGUGCUUAGGAUGCUGGCAAAAUGGCUUUAAUCGACCCGU
rnacentral:rRNA from 1 species